rnacentral:lncRNA from 1 species
CUAUUGAGGGAUUAAAUCCUAGAAUUCAAGUGGAUUAAAAGGGAAAUUAAAGCCCAAAAAUUGAUUGAUCAAAAUCAAAGCAAGGUUCUAAAGGCAAGAAAAUUAACCAAUUAAUGGUCUAGCAAUCAGAAUUUUUGUUUGGUUUCAUUUUGGUUAUGAGAUUUUUGGGUUGGAUUUAUUUUUUUGGGAUUUUUGGAUUAGGAUUCAAUUUCUGGUUUGAUUGGAUAUUCUAUUGGGUUUUCUAUGGAAUAUUGGGAAUUUUUGGAAUUGGAUUCUAGCUUUGGAUUUUUUUUUUGGAAAAAUCAUUGAAUUUUUUGAUGAUAUUUGAGGGUUCCAGCAAGCAAAAUCUGGGAUUUUUGCCGUAUUUUGGAAAUAGUCAUCAUGUUUUGGGUUUGUUUGCUUUUGCCGGUUGAAUUUGUAGAGGGAGAAACACAGGAAACCAAGAAGAGAGAGAAGGUACAGGAGAAUUCUGAAGCAAAAAGCAAAAUUUAGCCCUUUUAUACCACUAUUAAAUAACAACGUUUAGGAGAACUUUUGACUCGCUUGGAAUCCGUGUGUUUUACCAUAUUCACGUCCGACCAGCAACGCAACC